UCAACGGCAAAAAUGAUGCCAUUUCUUAAUUAGUUUCACAAAUCUUAUCCAAUACAUAAAUGAUAUGUAUCAAUAACGUACAAAGCAUUUUGAUACAUAAUUUUCUUCAUAUUUUCAAACAGUUACGUCAUUAUAAUGUAUCUACUUUGAAUAAACCUCAUAUAUCUCAAUGUCGUCACAGUUAUAAUCAGUCGUAGAUUCAAUAGCAGUGAAUGCCUCCUCUCCAAUCUUCCUUGCGGUAUCAAAAUCUAAAUUAAUUUUUUUCAUUGAUGGUGUUGGUGCUGUGAUAUUGAUGAUUGGGGUAUUCUAAAAGUUUUUGUUGGUGAUGGUGGAAAACUAAAUGAAUAGACGUUGGUGGAGAAAAAGAUGAAAAACUAUCAAAGAACAAGACCCAUUUGCUUCACAUUUCUGGCAUCAAAUGACAAACAAAAUGUAUGAAAGUAACUGGGUGGUGACGGAUGCGACAACGAGAAAUCGUUUUCUUGAAAAAAGAAGAAAGAAAAUCCAAGAAAUUUCUCUCACAAAUUUCAAACCUAAAGGAGAAAUUGAAAAUAAAAGAAAGAGCAGUAAAUAAAGGAUUAUGCGGUUCUUUAUGCAAGAAAGAAGGAUG
rnacentral:lncRNA from 1 species